rnacentral:rRNA from 1 species
GACGAACCGUCCGAACGUUAUUCGGAAUCACUGGGCUUAAAGGGUGCGUAGGCGGCGCGGAAAGUUGGGUGUGAAAUCCCUCGGCUUAACCGAGGAACGGCGCCCAAAACUACCGUGCUCGAGGGAGAUAGAGGUGAGCGGAACUUAGGGUGGAGCGGUGAAAUGCGUUGAUAUCCUAAGGAACACCGGUGGCGAAAGCGGCUCACUGGACCGGUUCUGACGCUGAGGCGCGAAAGCGUGGGGAGCAAACGGG